rnacentral:lncRNA from 1 species
ACCAAGUCAAAAGGAAAUCAUAUUACAAAGAUUUAACCAUGCCACAAUUGCCAUAUAAUCAACUAUCCAAAAUGAUCAUUUUCACACUAAGGUGCCUCUAUACACAUGCCACAAACUUUGGACUCUAAAUAAAAUAAUUCUACCAUUUUUUAUAAUAUGUGCUUCCCAUUGAUCUAACUCGACAAGUUGCGCAAGGUGACAACCUACAAGGAAAGGAAACAACUAGAGUAAGCAUUAAGAAUGCUUAAUAAGUUCAAAUGGAAAUACUAUGCUUACCUUGAUCAUUUAUAAGAAUAACAACUACCUAUCACUUUGGCAUACAAUUUGGCUAUCUUUGCCAAAAUGUCUUACCAACAUUAACAAUCAAAUAAGUUAGAUAUACUUGCAUAUCGUGAAUAAUAUCAAUUAAUUCCAAAGAAAUUUCAUGUCACGUAACAAACUAUAAACAUAUAUCAUUUCAUAUCAAUACAUUUUAAGUUUUUCCAUUUCAAUUCAAUGAAUUUCGCCUGAUGGAACUAUAGUAAAACAAACUUGAAUACACGGAUGAAAUAAAUUGCUUACACAAGCUGAAAUUACAUCAGUUUACCUAUCCAGGCUAAAAUUAUGUUACAUAUAACCCGAUAAUCUACAAAAGAUGCUAAAUCUCGUUAUAACAUGUAAAAUUUCUGAUUAAGCGCGCGUAUAACUCUAUUGGCAUCUCAAUCAUAUCCAAAGCUUUUACUAAGUUCACAUGGGCAUCAUUUUCAUAUAUAUAUCAUUACGAAUCCUUGUAAUCAACCAUAAUUCAUAUUUUACCUUGUACAUGAUCAAAUAUUUUCAUUCGCAUGCCCUAUAAUCAAUCAACUUUCACAUUUGUACUUUGUACUAUUACAUAAUAUGAUCACAUAACAUUUCAAUUUAGUCCAUUACUAACCAUACAUUCAAAUUUCACUGAUGUUCUAAUUAUAUCCAAACAUAUAAAUGAAAUAAAACAUAAAAAUUGCACAUCAUAUAAAAUAAUAUAGUAAGUUCCAUAUGAACCUACCUAUUCAAAAUGUGAAAAGAGUGGAUACUUCAAGGACUAAUUCAUAACUUUUGCCUUUCCCCUAUUAGCUCCACUUUGAUCCAAAUCUUGAUCUAUACAAUUAUUUUAUAUGCAAAUCAAUACUAAUCACUUUCAUACAAUGUUAUGAUAUACAUGAACCUAUAUAAAUUCAUUUUUUUGAUUUUCCUCAUAUUUUACAUUGUAUUCAAUUUGGUCUCUGAACUCGGGAUAAGCAUAACUUUCGAUUCCUAGCUUCAAAUUAAAAUUUGAUUUCAUAUAUUCUCAUUUGGGACCUUAUACUUCCUAUUUCUAACAUAUUUCUUGAAAAGUUUAACAUUUAUUCAAUUUGGUCUCUAAUGUAACCGAGUUAACAAUAAGUUAAAUUAACUUUACAAUCUAGUCCUUUUCAUAAUCUAAGCUUAAAAUCUAUCAAUUUCAAGCCUAACUCUUCAAGAAAUCAAUAAAUACAACUUUCUAAAACUUUAACGGUUUCACAAAUUGGUACAUGGGCUAGCUAAAUCAAGCUCCCAUGACCUCAAAUCUAUAAAAAAUACAAGAAAAUAACUUAAAUUUACCUUUCAAUUUAUGGUUGAAUGUCAUGAAAAUUUUCUAGGUUUUCUUCUUCCCUUGGACGGCAAGAAAAUAGGUGGAAGACAAAGAUGACAUUUUUCCACUAACUUAACAUAUAUCUAUAGUUGAAUUAAAGAAUAAUCAAGUUAGUUUACUUAAUUUAACAUUUGUAAGCACUAAAUUUUUGUCUGACUAGAAUUCGUGUUUAAGUUCCAAAAUUUCAAAAAAAUAAAAUAAAAAAUAAAAAAAUUUCAAAAAAAAUUACAUCUUAGACCCCUAAACUUUCCUUAAAUUACAUUUUAACCCUAAAUUUUCUAAAAAUUACAUUUAGCCCCAGAAUUUUUGCUGUAUUUGUGAUUUGGUCCUUCAGACAGAUUACGUGAUUUGGGGCACCCACUUCCCAGAUUUUCAGGCCAAAAACAUGGGUGGUUGUUCCUUCUUCACCCACUACCUGCAAAUGGCAUAAAAAACAAGCAAAAUGGUAGAAAUGAAAAAGGAACACAAAAAAAAAAGAGAAUUCUCCCAUUUGAAAAAAAAAGAGCAAAAAAUUCCAGCAAAAAAAAUCCAAAAAAAAAACAUUAGCAAUCAAGAGAAAAAACGCAGAAAGGUGGAUCUUCGAUUUCAUUUUAUUUGUUUUCAUUUCGUUUUAACUACUUCUUAGUUUCCUUUCAAAUUUACUGCAAAUCAAUAAACAAAAAGGGGGUUUUGUUUUCAAAUACAAAAAAGGGGUUGUAUUACACAGAUUAUUAAUAAAAAGAGAACAAAAAAGGUUGUUUUCAUAUUUUCUUUCCUUGGUUUUUUUUCUUUCUUUAGAUUUUUUUUAUUUUAUUUUCUGUGUUAAAUCUUUUAAAAAAAUAAAAAUAAAAAACAAAAGAGGGGCUGAAAACUUACCUAUUCUUCGCGUCCCGCCCCCAUCGGAGAUUCCCCGAUCCAAAAGGGCCACGAAACCCCUCAGGUUUCUCGUUUAGGCCAUGGAAAAUAAGAGGGGGACGAGUACUCGGAGGGCAAAAUAGGAGCUUUCUCACUUGAACUUGGUGAGAGAGAGGUUUGUUUGAGAGAAGUGAAAAUGAAAAGGGGGAAGGAAAGAGUUUUU